CGCGUAGACGGUUUUGUAAGUCAGAUGUGAAAUCCCUGGGCUCAACCUGGGAACUGCAUUUGAAACUGCAUGGCUAGAGUAUCGAAGAGGGAAGUGGAAUUUCCGGUGUAGCGGUGAAAUGCGUAGAUAUCGGAAGGAACACCAGUGGCGAAAGCGACUUCCUGGUCGAAUACUGACGUUCAUGUGCGAAAGCGUGGGGAGCAAACA
rnacentral:rRNA from 1 species